AGAGAUGUGUGAUGACGCAUAUCAAUAAGCGGAGGAAAAGAAACUAACAAGGAUUCCCUUAGUAACGGCGAGUGAAGCGGGAAGAGCUCAAAUUUGAAAUCUUCAAGGUUCUACCUUGACGAAUUGUAGUUUAAAGAAGUGUUUUCUGUUAGUGGAGUGGCAAAAGUUCUUUGGAAUAGGACAUCAUAGAGGGUGAGAAUCCCGUAUUUGGUCAUUCCUUCUAGCUUUGUGAUACACUUUCAAAGAGUCGGAUUGUUUGGGAAUGCAGUCCAAAAUGGGUGGUAAAUUUCAUCUAAAGCUAAGUAUUGGCGAGAGACCGAUAGCGAACAAGUACCGUGAGGGAAAGAUGAAAAGAACUUUGAAAAGAGAGUUAAACAGUACGUGAAAUUGUCAAAAGGGAAGCGUUUGACACCAGUGUUGUUUUUCCGAAAAUCAAUUACGAAUGUUUUAUUUUUGAGGAGUUAUGACUUCAUCGGCUUGCUCCUUUCUUUAUGAAACUUUCUUAAUGCACUUUUCGGUUAACAAGUCAACAUCAAUUUCUUUUGUUGUAAAAGGGUAUGAGGAAGGUGGCUUUCUUUUCGGAGAAAGUGUUUAUAGCCUUGUGCCUCUGCAAUCGGAGAGAUUGAGGUCUGCAGCGUAGAUCCUUCGGGGUUAGAUACAUUUGUGCUAAGUUAUAGCCUUUCAUAGACAACUUGUUGACUAUGAUUCAGUCUUGUAGCUUACUCGCUUAUGUCAUUUUACCUACGCUUAGGAUGUUGACGAUCAGCUGAGCGCG
rnacentral:rRNA from 1 species